rnacentral:rRNA from 1 species
GAUGAACGCUGGCGGCGUGCCUAAUACAUGCAAGUCGAGCGAACAGACGAGGAGUUUGCUCCUCUGACGUUUGCGGCGGACGGGUGUGUAACACGUGGAUAACCUACCUAUAAGUCUGGGAUAACCUCGGGAAACCGGAUAUAAUACCGGAUAAGAUAUUGAACCGUAUGGUUCAAUAGAGAAAGUCGGUUUUGGUGGAACUAAUAGAUGGAUCUGAGCCGCAUUAGCUAGUUGGUAAGGUCACGGCUUACCAAGGCGACGCUGCGUAUCCGACCUGAGAGGGUGAUCGGCCGCAUUGGAACUGGAACACGCUCCAGACUCCUACGGUAGGCAGCAGUAGGGUAUCGGCCGCAGUGGUCGGGAGCCUUGCGGAGCAACGCCGCGUGUGUGGUAGAAAUCUUCCGAUCGUAAAACUGUGUUAUUAGGGAAAAACAAAUUUCUAAGGAGCUAUGCACGUCUUGACGGUACCGAAUCAGAAAGCCACGGCUAACUACGUG